AUGGAUCCCUUCGUUUCUGACCCCACCGAUCCUGUGACAACCAGCCCCAAAACGCAGGGACAAGAGGAAGAGGGCCUUGGAGCCGACCCCUCCUUCAAUUCCCUUACCACUGAGUCCGUCGUCGCGAGCCCCGACGCGGAGGGCGGCGCCGCCGCCACACAGGCGGACGAUGAGGCGGAGAGUGGGGCGCCCGGCUCCCCUUCCCCGCCCCGACCGCCGCCUAGCAUCUCCGGGCGCCGCGAUCCUCUCAGGGCCGCGUGCUUCCGGAGGCUGGCUGCCUCCUGCGAAGCCCGCCGACUCCGCGAGGCGGAGCUCCUCCGUGCGUCUAAACCGCCCGCGGAGAAGGCCGAGGACCCCGAGGAGCCAAUCUGGCCACCAAAAAGCCGCCAUUGGUGGCGCUUCGUGUAUGUAUACCUCGCCUUCCACCCCCUUUUGCUCAUGAAUGCAUGA
rnacentral:rRNA from 1 species